GACGAACGCUGGCGGCGUGCCUAAUACAUGCAAGUCGAACGCUUCUUUCCUCCCGAGUGCUUGCCCUCCAUUGGAAAGAGGAGUGGCGGACGGGUGAGUAACACGUGGGUAACCUACCCAUCAGAGGGGGAUAACACUUGGAAACAGGUGCUAAUACCGCAUAACAGUUUAUGCCGCAUGGCAUAAGAGUGAAAGGCGCUUUCGGGUGUCGUUGAUGGAUGGACCCGCGGUGCAUUAGCUAGUUGGUGAGGUAACGGCUCACCAAGGCCACGAUGCAUAGCCGACCUGAGAGGGUGAUCGGCCACACUGGGACUGAGACACGGCCCAGACUCCUACGGGAGGCAGCAGUAGGGAAUCUUCGGCAAUGGACGAAAGUCUGACCGAGCAACGCCGCGUGAGUGAAGAAGGUUUUCGGAUCGUAAAACUCUGUUGUUAGAGAAGAACAAGGACGUUAGUAACUGAACGUCCCCUGACGGUAUCUAACCAGAAAGCCACGGCUAACUACGUG
rnacentral:rRNA from 1 species